GUGCCAGCAGCCGCGGUAAUACGGAGGGUGCAAGCGUUAUCCGGAUUUACUGGGUUUAAAGGGUGCGUAGGCGGGCCUUUAAGUCAGUGGUGAAAUCUCCCCGCUCAACGGGGAAACUGCCAUUGAUACUAUUGGUCUUGAAUUUAGUUGAGGUGGGCGGAAUGUGUCGUGUAGCGGUGAAAUGCUUAGAUAUGACACAGAACACCGAUUGCGAAGGCAGCUCGCUAAACUAAUAUUGACGCUGAGGCACGAAAGCGUGGGGAUCAAACAGGAUUAGAUACCCUGGUAGUCC
rnacentral:rRNA from 1 species